CGGCGGACGGGUGAGUAACACGUGGAUAACCUACCUAUAAGACUGGGAUAACUUCGGGAAACCGGAGCUAAUACCGGAUAAUAUAUUGAACCGCACGGUUCAAUAGUGAAAGACGGUUUUGCUGUCACUUAUAGAUGGAUCCGCGCCGCAUUAGCUAGUUGGUAAGGUAACGGCUUACCAAGGCGACGAUGCGUAGCCGACCUGAGAGGGUGAUCAGCCACACUGGAACUGAGACACGGUCCAG
rnacentral:rRNA from 1 species